ACAGAGGUCCUCUGUGCGCCUAACUCAAAAUUGUUGGAAGUUCCGACACUGCAUCGGAAGUUCCGAUAAGUGCCGGGUGUUUCUGGAAACUCCCAACUGGGGUCCUCUGCUCGCCUAAGCUAACUCUGUCGGAAGUUCUGACACUGUGUCGGAAGUUCUGACAGGUACAUAACCUAUCUAUAACAGCUAGUUUUUGGGGGCUAGGUACAAAUACCCCCUCAACCUCCCCUAUUCAGUGCUGCUGACCUAACUCGAGAGAAACUUCCCAUAGCAGUGAAUACUCCCCUCACCCCCUUUGAGCCAAGUCUUUGUGUUCUUGAGCUAGGAUUGGGUGAGAGUGACAUUGAGUGUGUGUGUGACUUGAGGCUUGAGUGCAAAGUUCAAGAAGUUCAUUUCAAGAAGCAC
rnacentral:lncRNA from 1 species